rnacentral:rRNA from 1 species
AGUGAACGCUGGCGGUAGGCCUAACACAUGCAAGUCGAACGGCAGCACAGUAAGAGCUUGCUCUUACGGGUGGCGAGUGGCGGACGGGUGAGGAAUACAUCGGAAUCUACUUUUUCGUGGGGGAUAACGUAGGGAAACUUACGCUAAUACCGCAUACGACCUACGGGUGAAAGCAGGGGAUCUUCGGACCUUGCGCGAUUGAAUGAGCCGAUGUCGGAUUAGCUAGUUGGCGAGGUAAAGGCCCACCAAGGCGACGAUCCGUAGCUGGUCUGAGAGGAUGAUGGGCCACACUGGAACUGAGACACGGUCCAGACGCCUAAGGGAGGCAGCAGUAGGGAAGCUGCCGCAAUGGGCGAAAGCCUGACGGAGCAACGGCGCGUGAGUGAUGAAGGUCUUCGGAUCGUAAAACUCUGUUAUUAGGGAAGAACAAAGGUGUAAGUAACUAUGCACGUCUUGACGGUACCUAAGCAGAAAGCCACGGCUAACUACGUG